rnacentral:rRNA from 1 species
UACGUAGGGUGCAAGCGUUAAUCGGAAUUUCUGGGCGUAAAGCGUGCGCAGGCGGUUAUGUAAGACAGAUGUGAAAUGCCCGGGCUUAACCUGGGAACUGCAUUUGUGACUGCAUGGCUAGAGUUUGGCAGAGGGGGGUAGAAUUCCACGUGUAGCAGUGAAAUGCGUAGAUAUGUGGAGGAACACCGAUGGCGAAGGCAGCCCCCUGGGUCAAGACUGACGCUCAUGCACGAAAGCGUGGGGAGCAAACAGG